UACGUAGGUGGCAAGCGUUGUCCGGAUUUACUGGGCGUAAAGAGCGCGCAGGCGGUCGUUCAAGUCGCGUGUGAAAGCCCCCGGCUCAACUGGGGAGGGUCACGCGAUACUGAUCGACUCGAAGGCAGGAGAGGGUAGUGGAAUUCCCGGUGUAGUGGUGAAAUGCGUAGAUAUCGGGAGGAAUACCCGUGGCGAAGGCGGUCCACUGGGCAUCAACUGACGCUGAGGCGCGAAAGCGUGGGUAGCAAACAGG
rnacentral:rRNA from 1 species